UAAGGUGGUUAUAGCGAUAGGGCUCACCUCUUCCCAUCCCGAACAGAGAAGUUAAGCCUAUCAGCGCAGAUGGUACUGCCAUUACGGUGGGAGAGUAUGUCGCCGCCUUUC
rfam:Lutibacter profundi strain LP1 chromosome, complete genome.